rnacentral:rRNA from 1 species
UACAGAGGUCCCGAACGUUGUUCGGAUUCAUUGGGCGUAAAGGGUGCGUAGGCGGCGCGGUAAGUCGGGUGUGAAAUCUCGGAGCUUAACUCCGAAACUGCAUUCGAUACUGCCGUGCUUGAGGACUGGAGAGGAGACUGGAAUUUACGGUGUAGCGGUGAAAUGCGUAGAUAUCGUAAGGAAGACCAGUGGCGAAGGCGGGUCUCUGGACAGUUCCUGACGCUGAGGCACGAAGGUCAGGGGAGCAAACGGG